ncrna:unclassified sequences TwoGGAY RNA
GAAAGUCUGCCCCUGCUAAUUCUUAUACUUUCCCUAAAUAUUCAGAUAGGAGGGUACAAGGAUGUACCCGACAGUGAGGUCACGCCAAGGAGGGCGUGUCCGAACGGUAUCGUCCGGUUACAAAACCUAUACGGAAAGUAUUAGAAGUAGCUGGGGUAACUUUCU